GGUGCUAUAGUGUAGUGGUCAUCACUCGGGAUUUUGAAGCUUUUCAUAAGCAUCUAUGUAAUACUUCCCGAAACCCAGGUUCGAACCCUGGUAGCACCU